UACGUAGGGUGCGAGCGUUGUCCGGAAUUACUGGGCGUAAAGAGCUCGUAGGUGGUUUGUCGCGUUGUCCGUGAAAACUCACAGCUCAACUGUGGGCGUGCGGGCGAUACGGGCAGACUGGAGUACUGCAGGGGAGACUGGAAUUCCUGGUGUAGCGGUGGAAUGCGCAGAUAUCAGGAGGAACACCGGUGGCGAAGGCGGUUCUCUGGGCCUGUACUGACGCUGAGGAACGAAAGCGUGGGGAGCGAACAGG
rnacentral:rRNA from 1 species